GAUGAACGCUGGCGGCGUGCCUAAUACAUGCAAGUCGAGCGAACAGACGAGGAGCUUGCUCCUCUGACGUUAGCGGCGGACGGGUGAGUAACACGUGGAUAACCUACCUAUAUGACUGGGAUAACUUCGGGAAACCGGAGCUAAUACCGUAUAAUAUAUUCAACCGCAUGGUUCAAUAGUGAAAGACGGUUUUGCUGUCACUUAUAGAUGGAUCCGCGCCGCAUUAGCUAGUUGGUAAGGUAACGGCUUACCAAGGCAACGAUGCGUAGCCGACCUGAGAGGGUGAUCGGCCACACUGGAACUGAGACACGGUCCAGACUCCUACGGGAGGCAGCAGUAGGGAAUCUUCGGCAAUGGGCGAAAGCCUGACGGAGCAACGCCGCGUGAGUGAUGAAGGUCUUCGGAUCGUAAAACUCUGUUAUUGGGGAAGAACAAAUGUGUAAGUAACUAUGCACGUCUUGACGGUACCUAAUCAGAAAGCCACGGCUAACUACGUG
rnacentral:rRNA from 1 species